ACCCUCUCAAAGUGGCUGUGAAAUGCGUCCUUCACUGUAUAAGGGAAGAUUCCUUUUUCGCAUAUCACAGCCAGCUUUGAAGAGCGUCA
rfam:Anopheles quadriannulatus strain QTAD4_A unplaced genomic scaffold supercont1.28, whole genome shotgun sequence.